rnacentral:snoRNA from 1 species
UGCUUGUGAUGCCAUUUAUUUGCUACUCUCGACAACAUGGAUGACGAUACUUUCAACCCACCAGUUGACUUAUCUGAGGCA